CAGAAUAAAAAGGGGAGAUAAAGCGUAAGGAGCAGGACAAGACAUCUGAGGAAAGACGAGAGAGACGAGAGGAUAUACAGCAUCAGCGAGGGACAUCUGCGAUAAGUACGAGGGAGAAAGACUAUAAUACUGUCUGAUACGGGAUCAGAUACCAGUCCAUCUCAGGCUAUUUAUCGUGGGACUUCUAUUUCUUGUGGGGGAAUCGCAAAGCCCAAAAGGCGAUCGUGUUCGGUCGCAAUAUCCCGCUGUUGUGGACUAAUCUAGACGGACCUUCUUCAAACGACAUUUUCCUGCAGGCCAUGGCUGUGGACUCUCGCCCCCACGCUAGAGCGACUGUGACGGCCCGGUCUGUUUUAAUGUGAUCCAGUCUUUGGGAAUUCUACGCAUCGGAACGCUCCUUGAGGAUUUAAGAGACGUGUUUAACGCAGGUGCAACCCUACUGUUUUCUGAAGACGCACAAGAUAUAAAGACACUGCGGAGAGGAGCGGUUUAUUGUGAAGAAGUCAGAAUCUCCACCAUGGCUACGAGGAAGAGUGCUUCUCGAUGUGGUGAGUAACAGGGGGUUUUAUACUACAACCACGGCGUUUUCUUGAUUAAAGUCUUUUAUUUCUU
rnacentral:lncRNA from 1 species